AUUUUCUCAAUGAUAUAAAUGUUAAUGUGUUAGCAGCUGGAACAUAUGAUCAAAAAAUUUUACUUUUUGAUAUGAGAUGUCAAAGUAAGUCUGUAUAUGUUUAUGAUCAUUUUAAAACUUCCAAUGUGAGUAAAAAUAAAUUUAAUUAUUCUAAUUAUAUUUAUUCGGAAAGUGAUUUAGUUUUUACUAACAUAUGUAGUAAUACGUACAUACACGAAAUAAAACCUGAAACAUUGGCACAAUCAAAUGCGCAAAUAAAUAACACAGAAGAUCUACAUAAUUUUAAAACUGUGCAAUUUAAAAAAGAAGAAAACACCACAAAAAAUGAUACAUAUAUGCUAAACUCUAAAAAUAAAACUAAAACUAACAAAACUGAUUUGAAACGAAAAAGAGAUGAAUCAGUAGAUAUCCUAAAUAACGAAAAUGAUGACCAGGUCAUAGCUGAAUUUAAUACAAAUGAGUUGAAAUCAACAAACAUACAGAUUUUUAAUAAGUUGGUAAUUAAAAUAGAAGAUGAAAGCAAAGAAACGAGUGAAAAAGAAAUAGAAAGCGAAAACAACGUAGUAAACGAAAACAAUGAAAAUGACAAAAUUAAAAACAUAAUUGUAAAAAAAGAAAUAGAGGAACAAGAACAAGAACAAAAACAAAAACCGAAUGAAUACCCUAUUUUGGGCGAUACAAACAAAUGUAAAGAAAAUUGCAAAAAAUAUUGCAUUAAAAAAUUUGCACAUAAGGAUAGCCAAAUUAUUUUUAUUUCAGAUAAUUAUGGUAAUGUUUAUGAAUUUGAAAUAACAACGGGAAAUAUGUUAUUAAAUUAUAUAUAUAAUAAAAAAAACACAAUAGAAAAGCAAACAUGUAAAAAACAGAAAAUAGAAAGAGAUAAAUAUAUAAUAGAACAUAGAAAAGAAUUAUAUGAUUUCUAUAAAGAAUAUCAAGCAAAUAAUAAAAGUCAUGUACGAAAUGAUUUACCUGUAAUGUGGGCUAAACAUGAUUUUGAUCAAUUUUUAAUUACACUUAAAAAAAAAACAUAAAUUACAUCGUGGUGCUAUUUCAUUUUUAAAUAUGCAUAAACAAAAAAACCUUCUUUGUUCUGCAAGUUACGAUCGAUUUAUAAUUAUUUUCAACAUAAAUAAAAGAAAAAUUAUUAAACGCA
rnacentral:lncRNA from 1 species